rnacentral:rRNA from 1 species
UACGGAGGAUCCAAGCGUUAUCCGGAUUUACUGGGUUUAAAGGGUGCGUAGGCGGGUAGGUAAGUCAGUGGUGAAAUCUUCGAGCUUAACUCGGAAAUUGCCGUUGAUACUAUUUAUCUUGAAUAUCGUUGAGGUUUGCGGAAUAUGUCAUGUAGCGGUGAAAUGCUUAGAGAUGACAUAGAACACCUAUUGCGAAGGCAGCAGGCUAAACGAACAUUGACGCUGAGGCACGAAAGCGUGGGGGGAUCAAACAGG